rnacentral:rRNA from 1 species
GAUGAACGCUGGCGGCGUGCCUAAUACAUGCAAGUCGAGCGAACAGACGAGGAUCUUGCUCCUCUGACGUUAGCGGCGGACGGGUGAGUAACACGUGGAUAACCUACCUAUAAGACUGGGAUAACUUCGGGAAACCGGAGCUAAUACCGGAUAACAUGCUGAACCGCAUGGUUCAACAGUGAAAGACGGUCUUGCUGUCACUUAUAGAUGGAUCCGCGCCGCAUUAGCUAGUUGGUAAGGUAACGGCUUACCAAGGCAACGAUGCCUAGCCGACCUGAGAGAGGGAUCGGCCACACUGGAGCUGAGCCGCGGUCCAGACUCCUACGGGAGGCAGCAGUAGGGAAUCUUCCGCAAUGGUGGAAAGCCUGGCAGAGCAACGCCGCGUGAGUGGAGAAGGUCUUCGGAUCGUAAAACUCUGUUAUUAGGGAAGAACAAAUGUGUAAGUAACUAUGCACGUCUUGACGGUACCUGAUCAGAAAGCCACGGCUAACUACGUG